UGUUAAAAAAUUCAUUCAUUUUACUAUUAAAAAUUGGUGAUGUUGAUAGAAUAAUCAAAUAGUUACAUAUGUGGUGCAAGUGGUACCUCAUUCUAGCGUAUGGGGUCAAUUUUAACAGUAAAAAUGCAUGAAAAUUUUAACA
rfam:Gossypium hirsutum cultivar TM-1 chromosome 4, whole genome shotgun sequence